rnacentral:ncRNA from 1 species
UAGCUGGCUUCUGGCAGUCAAGCGUUCAUAGCGACGUUACUUUUUGAUCCUUCGAUGUCGGCUCUUCCUAUCAUACUGAAGCAGAAUUCAGUAAGCGUUGGACUGUUCACCCACUAAUAGGGAACGUGAGCUGGGUUUAGACCGUGGCAAUGGCC